UCUCCCUUCUUUAUUCGCUAGGAUCCAAGUAAAUUCUAGUGGGCAAGAGGAAGAGAAGAGAAACUACAACAUCAUUAUCUUACUGCUGGAGGCAGCAGAUUACGGAGCCCUGCCUGUGUUGUGUCAAAUGCACUAUGUGACAACCAAGACCCUACACAACUGGAGGGCACUUCAGGAUUCCUCCGGGUGGCAGUUGCUGGCCUAGACUCACUUCUUCAGGAGGGAGGUUCGCCCUGGAAAGCUGAUCUGCAUUUCUGCUGGGAUCGAUGCCGUGGAGACUGGGAGACUGAAUACAUUGAGUUCUCCGGUUGAAAGAAAAAAGCUUAACCUGGCUUCUGAAUUCCAAGAACACACUACACAGUGGGUCUAAAUCAACCUCUGGUAAUGAAGGGCCUGGAGCCAGAUAUGAGCUUCUUGGAGCUUGUGGCAGUUUCUGGUGGAGGUCAGCUAUCCUUGUCAUCUACCUUGGCCCCUCUGCAGGGGAUGAGCUCAGGGCUACACUUUUCCUUCCAGGUUCUCAUGGUGUGGUCCAGGCUCCAUUUCUUUCUCUUUGAACCUCACUUCAACAUGAUUAGAGUGACUGAAGGUAAAGAAAUAGGAACUGUUUUACUGUAAAUAAGUUAGUCCCUGCUAUACUUUUUCUCUGUGUUGUUUCAUCACAUGUACUCACCUCAAAGGUCUUGUUCAGCCCUUCACACCCCUGUGAGUUGCAUUAAGCAUUGUCACUGUGCUGCAGAAUGCUUAGAAAUAUGUGUGUGCAUUACACAGAACUGUCCAGCCUUCAGAAGGAAAGGACUGAACAUCUUUGUGCAUCUC